rnacentral:rRNA from 1 species
UAAGUAAGCGGUGGAAAAUGAACCAAAUGGGAUUCCUUAAGUAAUUGCGAAUGAACAAGGAACUGCUCAGCUUGAAAAUUGGGGCCUUCGGCCUUGAAUUGUAAUUUUGAAAUGUAUUGCCAAUGGAGGCGCAGGUGCAAGCCUAUUGAAAGAAAGCGUCAAUGAGGGUGAGAUUCCUUUUUGUCAUUUGCAGUCCUCCGUGCACGGUAUAUAUUUGACGAGUCACACUCCUUGGCAUUGGAAUGCAAAGUGGGUGGUAAAUUCCAUGUAAAGGAAAAUAUAUUAUUGAGACUGAUAGCAAACAAGUACCAUGAGGGAAAUAUGAAAAGGACUUUGAAAAGAGAAUUAAAAGAGUCUGCAUUUGCUGAACAGAAAGCAAACAGAAUUGAUCUACUUGGUGAGAUUGUUGCGUCCACUUGUGGGCGCAAUGGUUCUUGCCUUGAAUGUCAGCGUCUACUUCUGCAAAUUAUUACCCUUGCAUAUGAAUGGUAAUUUGCCUGUGGGCAUUGGAAUGCAUGUGUUUGCAAUGAUUUGUGAUUUGAUACAUGUGUCUGGUGUUCGUGUGUGUGCCUUCUUGCCAACAAGGGGAGGGCUCUCCUCCCUGGGCACUGCAAGCCCUUGCAC